UGGGAUUAGAGGAGGAGGAGGCGAGGAGAUGGGAUUAGAGAAGGAGGCGAGGAGAUGGGAUUAGAGGAGGAGGCGAGAUGGGAUUAGAGGAGGAGGAGGCGAGGAGAUGGGAUUAGAGGAGGAGGCGCGGAGAUGGGAUUAGAGGAGGAGGCGAGGAGAUGGGAUUAGAGAAGGAGGCGAGAUGGGAUUAGAGGAGGAGGCGAGAUGGGAUUAGAGGAGGAGGAAGCGAGGAGAUGGGAUUAGAGGAGGAGGAAGCGAGGAGAUGGGAUUAGAGGAGGAGGCGAGGAGAUGGGAUUAGAGAAGGAGGCGAGGAGAUGGGAUUAGAGAAGGAGGCGAGGAGAUGGGAUUAGAGGAGGAGGCGAGAUGGGAUUAGAGGAGGAGGAGGCGAGGAGAUGGGAUUAGAGGAGGAGGCGAGGAGAUGGGAUUAGAGAAGAAGGCGAGGAGAUGGGAUUAGAGGAGGCGAGGAGAUGGGAUUACAGAAGGUGGCGCGGAGAUGGGAUUAGAGAAGGAGGAGGUGCGGAGAUGGGAUUAGAGGAGGAGGCGCGGAGAUGGGAUUAGAGAAGGAGGCGAGGAGAUGGGAUUAGAGAAGGAGGCGAGAUGGGAUUAGAGGAGGAGGCGAGAUGGGAUUAGAGGAGGAGGAAGCGAGGAGAUGGGAUUAGAGGAGGAGGCGAGGAGAUGGGAUUAGAGGAGGUGGCGAGGAGAUGGGAUUAGAGGAGGAGGCGAGGAGAUGGGAUUAGAGGAGGAGGCGAGGAGAUGGGAUUAGAGAAGGUGGCGAGGAGAUGGGAUUAGAGAAGGAGGUGGCGAGGAGAUGGGAUUAGAGGAGGAGGCGAGAUGGGAUUAGAGGAGGAGGAAGCGAGGAGAUGGGAUUAGAGGAGGAGGAGGCGCGGAGAUGGGAUUAGAGGAGGAGGCGAGGAGAUGGGAUUAGAGGAGGAGGAGGCGCGAAAAUGGGAUUAGAGGAGGAGGAGGCGCGGAGAUGGGAUUAGAGAAGGAGGCGAGGAGAUGGGAUUAGAGGAGGCGAGGAGAUGGGAUUAGAGAAGGAGGCGAGGAGAUGGGAUUAGAGAAGGAGGCGAGGAGAUGGGACUAGAGGAGGCGAGGAGAUGGGAUUAGAGAAGGAGGCGAGGAGAUGGGAUUAGAGAAGGAGGCGAGGAGAUGGGAUUAGAGAAGGAGGCGAGGAGAUGGGACUAGAGGAGGCGAGGAGAUGGGAUUAGAGGUGGAGGCGCGGAGAUGGGAUUAGAGGAGGAGGAGGAGGCGCAGAGAUGGGAUUAGAGAAGGAGGCGAGGAGAUGGGAUUAGAGAAGGAGGCGAGGAGAUGGGAUUAGAGAAGGAGGCGAGGAGAUGGGACUAGAGGAGGCGAGGAGAUGGGAUUAGAGAAGGAGGCGAGGAGAUGGGAUUAGAGAAGGAGGCGAGGAGAUGGGAUUAGAG
rnacentral:lncRNA from 1 species